AUCACUAUUAAUUACAAAAUUAUCAAUUUCCGAGCAUUUAUAUGUUAGGUAUGUUAUUAUACGUAAUAUAGGCUUCAAUUUAAGGUAAAAUUCAACCACAACCGUCGGCUAGGGGAUUAAAAAAUCCCCCCCAAAUAUCACUUUUAAUUACAAAACUCAAUUUACAAAACAUAUAUAUUAUAUACUAGGCAUGUUAUUAUACGUUAGCCUCCUGCGCAGGUAUCUCACCUAAGGAAUCGGGUGGUCGAAAAAAGUUUUAUUGAGAUGCCUGCCAUAAAUCGACACAAAAAUUUGCGCUGUGCAUACCAUACCCGCUCGUGCAUAAGGCAAGUAGUGAAGAAGUUUUUGUUUUCAACACGAUGGCUUACAAGACGAGUAAAACUGUAAAAUUAACGAAUAAUACUGCUACUUAAUAUUGUAAAUACACAGGAAACUUUGACUGUGGAGCUGAGCACGUUAUCGUGAGGUGAGGUAGAGAUUUAUACUGGGAUUGUUUAGAGACAACAGUGACUUUGCAAAGCAGUGAAUUCACAUUGCCGUCGAUUCAUGUCAAGACAGGGUCUCAAUUGAAUUGAAAGUUUAUCGUUGGUAUAUACAAAUUUCUACUCAAAUUGUUGACGACAUUUUAUAUCAUAAUAAGCGGAAAGUGCAAUGAUUUAGUCGAAAUUAUAACACGAAAAGGAAUGAUCGAAAAUUGUCAAUAUAAAUGUUAAUUCAACCGUUGAAAUCUGUGACUGUGCCUGCGUAUUAAAUAUAUAUAUAUAUAUAACUCUUGCCUUGUUUUAACACGCUUGUAUGGAAGGCAAAUCAUUAAUAAAAGUCUUUAAAACAAAGAGCUUUCUUAUUGUGGAAUACACUGUGCAAUUUAUCCCUUGGACAAACUUGAGUGUCUCAGAUGUGGCGAAAAUUAGCAAAAGCUUUCUUUAAAUCAAUGGCCCUGUUUAUAUGGGUGUGAGUUACCUAUAGACAUAAGGGAAAGGACAACUCAAAUUUAAUAAGACUCUAAUAGUUUUCCAAGUGACGGUUUAAGUGAUAAACGUGUUCUGGUGAUGUUCAAUCCUGCUAUCUGAACAGAAGUCUAUCCGCGCGGAUUGCCGCCUAAUCGCUUGAUUAUGAACUCUAAAACAUUCUACAACAUUACAAUACAUACUGUCUAUAUGUAUUGUAAAUGUUCCUGCAUAAAUUGAGAGGACGAGGUUUAUACUGAGGUUAACUAGUUUAUAACUCUCAGAAGCUUUGUAUAAUCCAGUUCAAACAAUGGCAAAUUCAAAACAUAACCUAACUUGGAUACUUGCAGGAAUAAAAUGGUUAUAGACACAUUAUACUGGUUGUAGAAAAAGCAUAAUAACAGCUAGUUUAAAAUGCCAGCCUGGUUGAAAACCUGCAGAGUAAAAGGGUAAAAACACUACUACUAAGUAUAACCCCCGCUCUGACGUUAUAUUUUGCAGUCUUGCAGUAAAUGUAGAUGUGGGGAGCUGCUAGUGGUAUUGGCCCUACUCAGGUUUUCCUGUACUGCAGGAUUUUUCCUGGCCUC